rnacentral:tRNA from 1 species
UUAGCUCAGUUGGUAGAGCGCCUCUUCUGGGAAGACGAGGUCGUGGGUUCGAUACCC